CCUGCCGCAGGUUCGGGUCGAACGCAGUGAGACAACGGAGCCGUUUACGGCGACGGCCCGUAGGGCGAGCGAAGCGAGUCAUCCUGCACGACCCACCA
rnacentral:sRNA from 1 species